rnacentral:sRNA from 1 species
GCCUGCUGCGGGCAAAUCAUAUGGACAUGGCCGUCGAUACCGGCGGCUGUCAGAAUCAGAUGCUCGCCCGAGAUGGCGUCGGUCGAUGGACCUGUACACAGGGUCGGAGUCACCCCUUCCAUAAUAUUGGGGUUACCGGCUUUACCGAUACCUGCGAUUUUGCCAUCCUUUACGCCGACAUCAGCCUUGAUGACACCCAGCAGGGGGUCCAGGAUGGUGACAUUGGUGAUCACCAGGUCAAGCGAACCAGCCUCCGAGGUUAUCUCGUUGGCUGUCCCCAUGCCGUCACGC